UUCAGAGGUCCCGAGCGUUGUUCGGAUUUACUGGGCGUAAAGGGAGCGUAGGCGGUUCGGUAUGUCGAAUGUGAAAGCCCACAACUCAACUGUGGAAAUGCAUUCGAAACUGCCGGGCUAGAGUACUGGAUAGGAGAGCGGAAUUCUUGGUGUAGCGGUGAAAUGCGUAGAUAUCAAGAGGAACACCGGUGGCGAAGGCGGCUCUCUGGACAGAUACUGACGCUGAGGCUCUAAAGUUAGGGGAGCAAACAGGAUUAGAUACCCU
rnacentral:rRNA from 1 species